rnacentral:lncRNA from 1 species
GAAAAUAAGCCCAAGAAAAAUAGAUUUUAGAAUUAGGUAUUAAACAAAAUAUUUAGUGCAUAAUUUUUUAUUAUAUAAAAAAAUAAUGAACAUUAGAAAUGAAGAAGAAAAAAAUAAAGGAUCUCCACCGUUGGCAGUGGUGUUACGGUGGCGAUGGCGGUAAUCUGGCGAAGAAUAUGGGUUCGGUCACUCUCUUAAAAGAGGAUAAAUAAGAAGAGAAAAGAAAAUAAGAAAAAGGGAAAAGUUGCAUGGUGGUGCACGGUGGUUGCCAUGGUGGUGGAAGGCGGCGCUAGGGGCGGCAUUUUGAGAAAAAAGAGAGGGGAUAGGUGGCAAGGUGGUGGUUCGAUGGUGAGGUGAUGGUCGUGCAACGCUAGGAAUAGUGGGAGAAAAAUAAAAAGAAAGCAAAAAGGGAGGUUAAUAGCUAAUCAAAAUAGAAAAUAAAAAGGAAAUGGGGAGGAGAAAUGAGUGGUGCUGCAAUGAGGGGAGGAGAAUGAGAGGAUGGAUGGAAAAUGUGUGGUCAACCUUGUC